CCAAAACCAACUGAAAACUCAGAUAUUCAGAUAAUAACACAAAACUGAACCAUGUAAACCGACUAAGCUAUAAAUCAACAGAAAUAAUAAGGGUAAUAACUAAAUCGAAAUAACCUGGGUCGGAAGCUCUAUCGACCGCUACACACGUACCUCACGUCUCGUCCCACUACUCAUCGCCCGCGAUACCUGAAAAAUGGUGGGGGAGGUGAGAACAUGUAAACAUGUCUCCCCUCCCAGUGGGUACCGCAAGCCGAAGAAGGCGAGGAGUACUCACCGGAUCAGGAAGAGCUAUACAACAACACGGGUCAGUGGAAAUACAAUAGGAACAAUAGUAAACAAAAGAGAUGUAUAAGGUAAUGAGCAGAUAUACUAAAUACAGUAGCAAUAAACUGAAAGAAAGUAAGAACUAGACUGAAUAACGGCUACCGCUACUGUAACUGGAACCGAAAGCAUACAUGAAUAUCUACUAUAGCAGCAAGACAACUAUAAAGUAAGAACUGUAAGUAUGCAUGCAACGACUGCUACUAUAGACAUAUGCGUCAACCGGUCAAGAAGUCCAAAAGUACCCAAUCUGAAACCAAUGCUCUCUUGGUCAGCACCGCAGACCUCAAGCCAGUGCCACUACUACUCUCCAGUGCAUAUAACCCCUCUAGGGCUCACGGGUUGUCACCAUUCAACCACUUUUCCGGAAAGAACACUUCUUGCGGUGGAUCAGACCGCCAGUGUUCGUGAAAUGCGACGAGUAUCGGGCGAUCAAUGCAAUAUGCUCAAUGCUCAACCGUCGGCAACCAGCCGACAAUCCUGCCCCCCAGGGCCCAUCGACCGCAUAGGUCGUCAACUGUAAGGAAGCACAAGAACCGACCACUCAUGUCAACUAGGAUGGGACAACAUCGACAUCCUCUCAAACAUAUGCAAAUACUGCUCAAUGAACCUCAAGGACUGACCCCUCAGAUCAACUAGGAUAUGAAACUCGACCAAUCAUGUCACAAGUAUAGAAUAUGAAACUCGACCAAUCAUGUCACAGGUAUAGAAUAUGAAACUCGACCAAUCAUGUCACAAGUAUAGAAUAUGAGUAAAGUAUAAUCAUCCGUCGGCAACUAACCGACAAUCCCACCCCUCAGGGUAUACCGACCUUAACGGUCAUCAGACAACAAAGGUCGAGGAACUCACCGAAUAGGUCACAAAUACUGAAUACUAGAAUCGACCGACUAGAUCGCUGAUCUCAUAGAUAAUCACGGAAUCGCUCUACUAUAAACAUGAAACAGGGUAUGCAGAAUAGCUAAGUAGAGCAACAAGGAAACAUGGUAUCAUAAACAGAUAGACUAUACUCCUACACGUGAUACUAAGCAUAGAAACGUCUGAGUAGAGUAUAAUCAAACAACGUGGGUGUAAUGUAAACAAUAGAGGUGCAAAGCUCAACAUAUAAUAUAAGCAUGGAUAAUAACAAAAGAGCAAGGGUAAGAAACCAUCACCGAGCGUGCACCACUGUACCAACGUCGGAUCGAAGUACCCACCUGUACAACUGUCGCGCCUGUCUCCUGACUGCAAAAGAAUGUCAACCGGACCUA
rnacentral:lncRNA from 1 species